GUGAGAUCUGCCUGCAUGGGACAGCAAAAGUUGUCAUACUUUUUACUCCAGUGGGUGAAUAUUUCUCAGGAAGAAAGUCAGUCGUACGAAUUGAGAUGGCAUGAGGAGUUGGAUCAUAGAACAACCGCUGCUGAGGAUUAGAAUGAACACACAACACUUUUCAAUUAAG